CUCCAUACCACGUUUUGCUUUUCUGUAGUUGGAGGCAAGCUUUACACCACCGGAGUGAGAAUCACCGCGCACACAUGGGAAUCACUAGAAAGCAUCUUGUUCCAUGUCAUGCCCUCCCACCCCACGGUACCCAUAUUAAAAAAAGCAGUGGAAUAUAUUCUCUCCGUGUACGAUUCAUGUGUUCGGGGGAAGAUGAUUCUUCAAUACCUCCUAAAAAUGCUUGCACAAGGGUUUUUGGAUUAGAAUGUCAUCUGUAUUCACGAAAUCAUACUAUGCGAAGCGAGAAAACCUGUUGAAUUUGAGACAGUUCCCUUUCUCCUCAAACUCUUGGAGAUUGUUGGUUGGAGGUGGCUGGAAUGAAGUAAACUGGACGGAUCCUCAUUGGCUUGCUGGGUAGAAAGCUCAUUGUCCACGAAUUAGGGCUAUUUGUACUUCCAGAAACCAGGACAUCUACAGAUGAAUACCUAAGGUAAAGCUUGUGGCUCUGAUAGCUCAUAGUCAAUGGGUUCCUGUUGGGUUGGACCUUAGAUUUUUGUGUGGCUAUAUGAACUUGCUCUCUCUGAACGAUGGACAAGACGUGUGAAUUUCCUGUGUUUGGGUGAACUCAUAUAAAUGCUGCGGACCGUGAUUGGGUGGGCAUCUAUUGAAACUUACUUUAACAGGUCCACCGAAUUUGUCGCAAUGGAUAAUCUGCAUCCAUUUUGUGCGACCAGCUGGACAAUGUUUAGACCAUAAAGUAGAAAGUGCAGUUUAUGUACCAAAUAGUAUACCCAUCUGUAUUGUGUAAAAGGCGGAGUGUACAUAGCCAUGAAGGACCUACCCAAUGAUAGUGUUGGAAACACGUGAGCAUAAAAGUAUUGUCUUGAGGUAUACGUAGGAGAUCAGCGGCCAAAAUGAUUCAGAUAGACUUUUUAUUGGUCCCAGGUUUCGAAUUCUCCCGACUCAAAACUAGUUCGGGGAUCAAAACCGAUCUCGCUGUACUAUGAACUUUACCUAUAAGCUCUAUUCAGCAAAGUUCACCUAA